rnacentral:rRNA from 2 species
AGACCGAUAGCGAACAAGUACCGUGAGGGAAAGAUGAAAAGCACUUUGGAAAGAGAGUUAAACAGUACGUGAAAUUGUUGAAAGGGAAACGAUUGAAGUCAGUCAUGCUCUUGGGACUUACCUCCCUUGAGUGGGGUCAACAUCAGUUUUGAUCGAUGGAUAAAGGCACUAGGAAGGUAGCACCCUCGGGUGAACUUAUAGCCUAGCGUCAUAUACAUUGAUUGGGACUGAGGAACGCAGCAUGCCUUUAUGGCCGGGAUUCGUCCACGUACAUGCUUAGGAUGUUGACAUAAUGGCUUUAAACGACCCGUCUUGAAACACGGACCAAG